AACGAACGCUGGCGGCAUGCCUAACACAUGCAAGUCGAACGAAGGCUUCGGCCUUAGUGGCGCACGGGUGCGUAACGCGUGGGAAUCUGCCCUUAGGUUCGGAAUAACAGUUAGAAAUGACUGCUAAUACCGGAUGAUGACGUAAGUCCAAAGAUUUAUCGCCUGAGGAUGAGCCCGCGUAGGAUUAGCUAGUUGGUGUGGUAAAGGCGCACCAAGGCGACGAUCCUUAGCUGGUCUGAGAGGAUGAUCAGCCACACUGGGACUGAGACGCGGCCCAGACGAGGAGGGGAGGAAGGGGGGAGGAAUAGUGGAGAAGGGGAGAGAUCGUGAGAGAGCAGUGGGGGGGGAGAGGAGGAGGUGGGGGGAUUGGAAAUCUCUGAAACAAGGGAUGAAGAGGAAAGGAGCGGGAGAAAAGACGGGGGCUAAGGCAGUGCAAGGAGGAGCAGUAAGAGAGAAGAGAAAAGGUAGGAAC
rnacentral:rRNA from 1 species